rnacentral:rRNA from 1 species
GACGAACGCUGGCGGCGUGCUUAACACAUGCAAGUCGAACGAGUGGGAACGGGUGAGUAAUACGUGGGUAACCUCCCAUCAGAGGGGAUAACACUUGGAAACAGGAGCUAAACCGAUACUGAUGGAUGGCCCCGCGGUGCAUUCUCUAUUUGGUGAGGUAACGGCUCACCAAGGCCACGCUGCAUAGCCGACCUGAGAGGGGGUUCUGCCUAACGGAGAUUUGGACACGGCCCAGACUCCUACGGGAUGAAGCAGUAGGGAAUCUUCGGCAAUGGACGAAAGUCUGACCGAGCAACGCCGCGUGAGUGAAGAAGGUUUGCGGAUCGUAAAACUCUGUUGUUAUAGAAGCGGUAUCUAACCAGAAAGCCACGGCUAACUACGUGCCAGCAGCCGCGGUAAUAC